GUCCUCCUGGCGCAAUGGUAGCGCGUUAGACUUCUAAUCUAAAGGUUGCCGGUUCGAGCCCGGCGGGGGAUG
rnacentral:tRNA from 6 species